GACGAACGCUGGCGGCGUGCUUAACACAUGCAAGUCGAACGGGGUGUUUAUUUCGGUAAACACCAAGUGGCGAACGGGUGAGUAACGCGUAAGCAAUCUACCUUCAAAAUGGGGACAACACUUCGAAAGGGGUGCUAAUACCGAAUGAAUGUAAGAGUAUCUCAUGAGACACUUACUAAAGGAGGCCUCUGACAUAAGCUUCCGCUUGAAGAUGAGCUUGCGUCUGAUUAGCUAGUUGGUGAGGGUAAAGGCCCACCAAGGCGACGAUCAGUAGCCGGUCUGAGAGGAUGAACGGCCACAUUGGGACUGAGACACGGCCCAGACUCCUACGGGAGGCAGCAGUGGGGAAUCUUCCGCAAUGGGCGAAAACCUGACGGAGCAACGCCGCGUGAACGAUGAAGGUCUUAGGAUCGUAAAGUUCUGUUGUUAGGGACGAAGGGUAAGAAUCAUAAUAAGGUUUUUAUUUGACGGUACCUAACGAGGAAGCCACGGCUAACUACGUG
rnacentral:rRNA from 1 species